CACCUGCCGGCGACCGGCGCACGGGUGAGUAACACGUAUGGAACCUGCCCGCCACAGGGGGAUAACCCGCGGAAACGCGGCCUAAUACCCCGUGACGCCACCGGAGGGCAUCCUCCGGUGGCCAAAGGAGCGAUCCGGUGGCGGAUGGGCAUGCGGCGCAUUAGCUAGUCGGCGGGGUAACGGCCCACCGAGGCGACGAUGCGUAGGGGUUCUGAGAGGAAGGUCCCCCACACUGGUACUGAGACACGGACCAGACUCCUACGGAAGGCAGCAG
rnacentral:rRNA from 1 species